ensembl:lncRNA
AGACAACACGCUUGGAGCUGGCACAUCAUUUUCUCUGAAUAGUCAGUGUCUGAACAGUGAGCGAGGUCUCUGAAAAGUCAAGGCAUAAAGAGUAAGAGUCAAGUGAUUUCAAAUGUAGGAAUUAAAAGCCUUUCUGCAUCUUUUUUGAAAAGAAUUGACAAUAAAAUCCUUCAACCAAUAGAUGAAUGAAUGAAUCUAGAAAAGGAGAAGCCAUAGAGAUUGAACUAGUGGAGUUGAUUGAAUUUAUGUAUUUAGAAUGUGCUUCUCCGCAGUCUGAGCCCUGGUCCACCGUCCUCUCUUGCAUUUGAAGCUUCACCCUGACCAAGACCUCACAAGUCAGCUACAAUGUUCAAAGUGUCUGAGAUUGGUCAAAAACCCCCCUCUCUGGCAAGGCCAUCUGUGCUAAGAUCAUUUCCCCUAUUUAAAUAUUUAAAAAUAUGCACUUACAUGUCUUAUAUUUCCUUCUAUCCAAAGAUAAAGCCAUUUAAGAGGUUUGGUGGUUUGGUUGGUUUAUGACAGGAAGAUGAGAACCAAAAUGUGGAAGAUAUGCUAAAAAUAAUUUAAUUAAAAGCGCAUAAAUUUUGUU